rnacentral:lncRNA from 1 species
CUCUCUUGUUGUUGCUGAAAGUAGUUUCUGCCUAAACCACUUUGACCGCUAUGAAGAAACCUAUCCAACGGUCCACCAUUACAAUCAAAACUUCCACCGUUUUGUGCAAUCUCUGGACUUUUCUCUUUAGGUGUGUUCAUCUCUUGACCGCUCGCUAUUAACCUAUCCAACGACCCAGCAUUACAUUCACGAUCUCGACCGUUGUGAGCAAUCUCUGAACUUUUCUCUUCAGGUCUCUUUGCUGCUACCGCAGCAACUCCUCUCUUAUUAGGAGGCGGACGGGAAGCUACAUUUUCAUUGGGUGCUCCACACAAUUCAGUCUUCACCCAAUCCAUUAAACGCUCUCUAGAAGCCGUAAGCUCAUCAAGCAACGUCUCCAUAAACGUUCCAACACCGUCCGUCCCCAUAACUGUUUCAUCUUUCUUCUUAUUGUCCUCCACACAAACAGUUUUCGGUUUCCUUUUCCUUACUUGCUUAACUUUCUCAGGCUUAGUCUCAUCUUUCUUGCUCCUCCUCUUCCGGGUUUUCACAGGAUGCUGGGUCGAGUUUGAAUCUGGAUCAUCGCUUGAAGAAUCUUCAAAGUCGUUCUCUUUCCUUCUGAAAUCCCAUUUCUCACUGAAUCUUGGCUCAUCUCCCAUUCUUAAAGAUUCAGUCUAAUUUCACUCUGUUCUUACAGAUUGCACCUUUCUUUCA